CCCAGCUGGGCUAUCGGCAGCAUCCCCGGGGCUGUGGGAACCACCCUGGACUUUGCUCGGGCAGCUCCGGUGGCGUGGGAUGGGAUAAGCGGCUUUGGGAGCUGGAGACAGAGCAGGGAUGGCAGCAGGCGAGGGCAGGCACUGGGAGGAGCUGGGAUGCAGCAGGAGGAGCACCCGAGCCAGUUCUCACCAGCGGUGGGACCUGUGAUGAGUGACGUCCCGGUGUCCACGAUGGCCUGGCAGCCAUUCAUGCAGAAAACCACUGUCCCGUUCAGCUGGAUGCUGGAGGAGAAGGAAAGAGAGAAGGACCAGGAGGGACUUGUCCUGAUGAUCUUC